GUGGGGAAUAUUGCACAAUGGGGGAAACCCUGAUGCAGCAACGCAGCGUGGAGGAUGACACAUUUCGGUGCGUAAACUCCUUUUAUAUAGGAAGAUAAUGACGGUACUAUAUGAAUAAGCACCGGCUAACUCCGUGCCAGCAGCCGCGGUAAUACGGAGGGUGCAAGCGUUACUCGGAAUCACUGGGCGUAAAGAGCGUGUAGGCGGAUAUAUAAGUCAGAAGUGAAAUCCAAUAGCUUAACUAUUGAACUGCUUUUGAAACUGUAUAUCUAGAAUGUGGGAGAGGUAGAUGGAAUUUCUGGUGUAGGGGUAAAAUCCGUAGAGAUCAGAAGGAAUACCGAUUGCGAAGGCGAUCUACUGGAACAUUAUUGACGCUGAGACGCGAAAGCGUGGGGAGCAAACAGGAUUAGAAACCCGAGUAGUCC
rnacentral:rRNA from 1 species